AUAAAUGUGGCUUAGUGGUUUGAGCAUUGGACUAUGACUCUGGAGAUCAGAGUUCGAUUCCUGCUCAGUCACG